AUGUUUUCUGUUGUUUCUUCUACUAGUUCUGUUCUGCUCUGACUGUUCAUGAUCAUCCACAAUUAAAGGAGAGUUUUUUUCAUCAUAUCUGCAUUGCGGCCUCUGCGUUUGGGUCCACUCCUGCUUCCCCGAGUCUGACAUAUGGCUUACUAUCAUCAUCAUCUUUAGCAUGAGAUGUCAGCAAUAAGGCCACAGAGAGUGAAGAUUAAACCUAAAGAAGAGGCAGCAUAUUUUUCAUCCUUGGGCAAGGACGAGGAUGGAUUCAAUAUAAAAUAUAUUAAUUCAUUUAAAGGUCGAGGAGUGUUCAGUUGCCGCCACUUUCAGAAGGGAGACUUUCUUAUUGAAUAUUGAUUGGAAAUCAAACAGGAACAUGAAAACAGGUUUCAACUGAAGCACGUCCUCACCAUGCAGCCUGGGCAUCUGACUGCACCAAAGAUGUUAAACAGGUCGUCAGUGAGGAUGUCAGUCAUUCUCUGCAGCGGGACUUCAUGCACCUCGCUAAAGGGAAAACUAGCAGGUAUU